UACAGGGGGGGCAAGCGUUGUUCGGAAUUACUGGGCGUAAAGGGUCUGUAGGUGGCCAACUAAGUCAGACGUGAAAUCCCUCAGCUUAACUGGGGAACUGCGUCUGAUACUGGAUGGCUUGAGUGUGGGAGAGGAAUGCGGAAUUCCAGGUGUAGCGGUGAAAUGCGUAGAUAUCUGGAGGAACACCGGUGGCGAAGGCGGCAUCCUGGACCGACACUGACGCUGAGGAGCGAAAGCCAGGGGAGCAAACGGG
rnacentral:rRNA from 1 species